rfam:Pelobacter carbinolicus DSM 2380, complete genome.
CCGACGAAAAGGUAAACCCCGGGCAACCGGGGGGCGCAAAGCCGCUCAUCCGGAUCUUCCGGAAAGGAGGGCUGUCGAA